CUUUGUUCCUGAAUGAAUCAUCCGUUUGAAUGGUUAAAACAAUUUUUAUUCACAGGAGCUGCAGGUGAUUAAAGUUACAAUUACUUGCGUCUUACAUCAGUAUUAUAAAAACAGUAAACAAAUGGUCCUUAAUACCUUCACAAUCCACGUUAUUUAUUGCACAGAAAAAUAAAAUAAAUGCAUACAGACAGAAAAGGCAGCAAGUUUAAGAUUAUGAAAGCCGAUGCCCUUAUAUGCAGAAGUGGUUUAGUUAAGUUUAAAGCUGCGGGUUAAAGUGAAAAGAAAACCUGUUUUGCAAUUGUUAGUACAUAACAUACUGAGUUUAUUUAUAAUGAUGUAGACUGAGAAAGUUAAUAUAAUUUACAACUUAGCUACUGUCAUAGGGUUGCUAGGUGCAGGAGCACCAAGGAGGCAGAUAUCAAAUAAACAGUCUUUUAAUAAAUCCACUUGGAAAAACCAGGAGAAAAACAACCUCUUUACAUGACGGAGACAGGACAAACAAACAAACUGAGGACAGUCAGGGCCAUUUACAGUAUACAAAACCAAAUGAUGGACUAAGAUAAAUGAACACGGGUGGAAACAAAUUAACUAAUCAAGCAACAAAGGAAAAACUAGGACAAGGCAGAGAGAACAGAAACACAGAACAUACACAUGACAUCAGUGGUGGACGUGGUGGGCGGAUCUGGUAGCUCCAGGAGGCAUGGAGAAGCUGGUAACUCAGGGGGCCAUGGCGGAUCAGGGGACUCAGGAGGCCAAGGCAGAUCCUCCGUGGCCUUAGCCGGUGUGGCCACAUUUAUAUAGACUGCCUCCCAAAAUUUUCUUGGGGAAAACUAGGCGCUCUCGAGGGGCAGGCAGUUGGAGGGCGCUAACACAGGAGACUCAGGAAAUGAAGGAGGGCUGGAAGGGACUAGCAGAGAUGAAGGAAACUCAGGAGAGCUUUCUGGAGCAGACUCAGGUGAGAAGAUAGGAGCAGAGAUCUCCAGAGGAAGAGCCAAAUCCAGGAGCGCUGGUGCCUCAUUUUCUGGGCUGAAAUGGAUCUUGGAUGGGAUCCCGAAGGCAUGGGUUGAACGAAGGGAGCGGGCUCAUUGGAGCAGUAUAUGAAAGGUGCUGAUUUAAGAUGAUAAACACUCAGGAACUCCACAUAUCGUUCCAAUGGCCGUCCCUCCUGCUGGAUGUUAAGUAGUAAAUCCUCAGCCCAGUCUAUCCUUUUAGGAUCCUGUCUUCUGUCACGGGGUUGCCAGUCGAAGGAGCUUGAAUGAGUACGAAGGAGGCAGAUAUCAAAUAAACAGAAUCUUAAAAAACAGGAGAAAAAAAAAACUCUUUACAUGACGGAAACAGGACAAACAAACUGAGGACUAAUAAGAUAAGAAAUGAACACAGGUAUACAAAACCAAACGAUGGACUAAGAUAAAUGAACACGGGUGGAAACAAAAGAACUAAUCAAGCAACAAAUGAAAACUAGGACAAGGCAGGUAGAACAGAAACACAGAACAUACAAGUGACAGCUGCAAGUUACAAAUUGUCUUUUGGGGGAACAUAGAUGGCUCCAAAACUGUCACAUGCCUUCUUUCCCCUGCGCAAGCUGAUUUAAGUAUUAUAUGUCACCCCCUUAUUCAUUUUUUGCACCUGUGGCUGUAAGUGUUUCCUCAUGCUGGAAAUUAGGAAACUUUUUUCUGAAUGAUCAAAAGAUCCAAACAGCAGGCAGUGGUGAGACACAGUCAGCACUGACUAAAGUGUCAUAAAUUCUUGGUCCAAAAAAUAAAGCAAUUUCCCAAAAAUGUGUCUGUUUUUUUUUUAAACAACACCAACGGAUUACCUGAAAACCAAAAAAAAGAAACAUGAGUUCUUUAUCCAAUGUCAACAUUUAGUCAUGGAAAGUCAUGAUUCAUACAUUAGAUGUCUGUACUUGGAAAAGAUGAUGACAAAGCAAAGUAGUACAGCAAUGCCACCAACAGCAAAUGCUACAACAUGAUUUCUGCCUGUAACUGGGAGCUCCACAGUUGAGUCUCUACAGGCUACUAGAAAGAGAAAAGAGUACAAAGAAUAAGUCAACGUAUGUAUAUGUGUGAGUGAGUGACAGCAUUCAAAAAAAUAAAUGAAUAAAUAAAAAAAGAAUCUUUUUUACACAAGUCUCUCUCACCUUUUGUGACUGUUGCAACAGGUGCAGUGGGACACUUAUCU
ensembl:lncRNA